rnacentral:lncRNA from 10 species
ACCCCCACUUUGGGUAACCGUGAGUUGGGGUGGGGUCUUGGCCUUGCCCGCAGCUGGCGUCCGUAUGUCGUUAGAGCACUGGGAAAGGGGGCGGGCUGCUGGCUGGGAGGGGUCGGCGCGGUUUCUGGCGCGCCACCGGAAGGGCGUUAUCCUGGGGGAACUGAGAGUGGAAACUUUCCUCCCGGGAAAGGAAGAAACCCGACUGGAGAAAGAUGGGGUCUCGCCAUGUCACCCACGCUGGUCUUGAACUCCUGGGCUCAAGCGAUCCUCCUGCCCCAGCCUUCCAAAGUACUGGGAUUACAGGUAUGGAACAGGCUGACAGAGCUGGAUCCAAAGGGCUCAGAAUGGAGCAACCAAGGUGUAUUCACCUGAUGCUUUGGUCUCCCUAAGCUCUUCCAUAGAAACGAUCAUAUAUCACCUCGGCAAUUGUUUUACGAUUUCUCACUGUGUUUCUCAGAAUGGUCUCAGACUCCUGGCCUCAAGCGAUCCUUCUGCCUGAGCCUCCCAAAGUGCCGGGAUUACAGGCAUGAACCACUGCACUCAGCCUGUUUUCAACCUUAUAUAAAUGGAAUCCUACUGUAUGUGCUUUUUGAUAUCUGGGCUCCUUUGCUCUAUAUUAUGUCUGUGAGAUUAAUAAACUUGUUUGUUCAGUUACGUU